UCCCUGGUGGUCUAGUGGCUAAGACUCCACACUCCCAAUGCAGGGGGCAUGGGUUCGAUCCCCAGCCAGUGAA
rnacentral:tRNA from 1 species